ACCCUUGCCUGGCAGGAAGCUCCCAUGAUCACAAAGCUGGGUUUCCCAUGGUGAGGCUUAUCCAUAGCACUCUGGAUGUGCUCACCACUGCAACUUCCCCGGAUGUGGGAGAAUCAUGUAAAAUUUGUGGUAGUGGGGCACUGUGUUCACACUCUCCCCUG